UGAAAGGAAGAAAGUAUUAAACAAACCACAUGCUAAAUUUCACUCUGAACUUGUUCAAUACACUGAAUGGCAGCAAGUGAGAACUAAUCAGCAGCAAUCAAAUCCGUGCAACUAAAUCACACUUCACCAUCAGAAAACACUAAAAAACCUAAUCAUACGCAACCUAAAUGCGUAGAAACUAAGCUUCUGCAACUUCCAAGUGACUAAACACACUGUAAAAGUAGCAAAAAAUAGAAAAACUAGAGUAAUGCUCCUUUAAAAAAAAGCGCAAAAGGAAAAGAAAAAGGUUAUGCAACAAGAUGCAGUAAGAAUCGGAAAGUAACAACCAGAUCAAUGAAUGCAUUGAAGUCAGAUCUAGCAAGAAACCAAACCAACAAUCUCUAUUUAAAAACAAGAAAUCGCGGGAGUAAAUUGCAGUUAAGCAGAUUAGGAAUGAAAUCUGCGAUUGUUGAAAUACGGUGAAAGCUUCCAAAUUCGAAAACCAAUGGGAAUGGGAAUGGAACAAGAAAACAGGAAAAUGCAUUGAGAGGAAAGUGAGAGAGAGGGUUGGUUUGAACUAACUGUUUGAGAUCUGAAAACGAGUUUUGUGGUUUCUGAUGCAGAGGGAGAGAGAGAGAAGAUGAAGGUGCGUGUCUUCAAUUUGAAUUGAAUGUGGGAUGAGCAACGAGUGAUGAGUGAGGAGUGAGUGAAGGAAGAAAGAAAGACAAAGUGGUUCGAGUUGUGGUCCGCAGUGGGAAAACUAAACUAAUAGUAAUGCACACAACACGUUACACACUCCCCACAUACAUCAAAUAUGCUUGCUUUGUUCUUCAACCGCGUGCCUCUCACGCUCCCACAACCUCUUUUUUUUUCUUGUGAGCAUCUAUGGUAUUCCGGACCCGGGAGGAGUGUUAUUAACAUUCAUUUUAACACUAAUUGGGGGUUUGAUUCUCAAAUGAUGUGUGUGGAGAAUGAUUUAUUAAAAAGUCAUAUUCACUUGUUCUUCAUAGAGAUAUAUCUCAAUGAAUUGUAACUGGUAAGGGAAAAUAUUUUGUUUUGGUUCGACAUAUAAUUCUAUAUGGAAUGAAACUAUAUCAAUUUAGUUAAACUUCCCCCCCCCAUCUAUUGAAAAAAAUUGCAUAAUUUUGAGAUCUUGAGUAUUAAAGGAAUUGGUUUUAUGGUUGUCGGUCAUGGAGAUAUCAUGCAACAAGAGACACACCGUAACACUCAAUUCCGCUAAUUUUUUGGUCUGGGACCCUUGUUAUCCGGAAAUUAUAUUGGACUUUGACUAAUUCUAGUCAAGCUGGGAUCAACCUAUGCCUGUUUUUUCUGUUCAUGUAAGGGGAACUAAGCUCCUAGAAACUUGGACAACAGGCGCCAAUACUUGAAAAUUAUAUGAGUAUGUAUUAUACACGCCCAAAAUAAUUAUGUUUAUUGAUCACUGACAAAUGUUGUAUAGAAAUAGAAGAAGAGAAAACAAAAUGAUGGAGGAUAACUAAUGAAACGCGACAAACUCAUUCAGAAUGAAGGAAUCUUGACAAAUUUUGCUUUGCUUUGCCAUAAUAAUUCAAAUGGGAAUUUUGCAAGAGAAUAGACCCAGUUUUGAAAUUAUUCAAUAUAGAUUUGAAGAAGCUGAUUCCUUGGUUCCUUCAUUUCAUUCUCAAUAGUCAAGCUAUGGAAAUACAUGUCUGGCAGCAAAGCAAGACCCCUUCCAACAAUGUUUUUACCAUACAUGUAUAGUCUAGUACUAUUUCAUCAAUCCUAACUCUACAAAGAGUCAUAGCUAACCUGUUUUGAUUCGGAAAAAUCUGAAUCGAAGCGUAAUCCAAAGGUGCACCAGCAUGAAUAGCAUCCCCCAUUUCCAAAAUCUAAAAACCUGAAAGGAAGAAAGUAUUAAACAAACCACAUGCUAAAUUUCACUCUGAACUUGUUCAAUACACUGAAUGGCAGCAAGUGAGAACUAAUCAGCAGCAAUCAAAUCCGUGCAACUAAAUCACACUUCACCAUCAGAAAACACUAAAAAACCUAAUCAUACGCAACCUAAAUGCGUAGAAACUAAGCUUCUGCAACUUCCAAGUGACUAAACACACUGUAAAAGUAGCAAAAAAUAGAAAAACUAGAGUAAUGCUCCUUUAAAAAAAAGCGCAAAAGGAAAAGAAAAAGGUUAUGCAACAAGAUGCAGUAAGAAUCGGAAAGUAACAACCAGAUCAAUGAAUGCAUUGAAGUCAGAUCUAGCAAGAAACCAAACCAACAAUCUCUAUUUAAAAACAAGAAAUCGCGGGAGUAAAUUGCAGUUAAGCAGAUUAGGAAUGAAAUCUGCGAUUGUUGAAAUACGGUGAAAGCUUCCAAAUUCGAAAACCAAUGGGAAUGGGAAUGGAACAAGAAAACAGGAAAAUGCAUUGAGAGGAAAGUGAGAGAGAGG
rnacentral:lncRNA from 1 species